GACGACCUGGCCUCCUAUUCCAAAUUUAUCUUAUAUUUUUUCAAUUUUCAUACUGAUGGGGACUAUAUAAAUGAACCAAUAAGUAAAUAAUUGCAUUAAAAAAACUAAUCCCCCUUCUGAAAGUUGAAAAGACGGGUGACUCGUCCUGCAUUUCAUUAUGUUGCCUUUUUUUCGGAUCAUCUGGAUGGUUUUCCACCGUUAUUAGUCACGAGCAGCUGGAAUUGAGCAUGUCAGCAAAAAAAGAAUUCGAAUGCUUUUGAGGCAGGCCAUUAUGUAUUUACGAUCGCUGGACUGUGAAAUGAAACAAGUGUUACUUUCCAGGAUUAAAUAUUUGUGGUGGCGCUAGGUAGAGUUUCGUCCAUAAUGGACUCACACAGAGAAAUGGUCUAACUUGGUAUGCGCAUAUUUGUUCCGAUUAGUUUUUCCAAUAGGCUAACUUUCUAAAUUAACUCUUCCCCCUCCCCACGAAAUUCAAGGUCUUGGCCGAUUGUUCAAGACAUAGCGGAAUAAGAACAUUGCCUUGAUAAGCAAAGUUCAAUGCUCUAGCAACGGGAAACGCGGCGGGCCUGAUUCUGACCUCCAAUCUGUGUAAAUCAGCAGUUACCCCGAUGAACUCAAUGGAGUAAUGGGGUGUAAACCCACGAACACUGGAUCAGAACCAGUGAGAAAGGCAUUUAUUGCAUAAACUGUUUUAGAUUGUACCUUUCUUUAAAAGAAAAGAAAGAAAGAAAGAAAGAAAGAAAGAAAGAAAGAAAGAAAGAAAGAAAGAAAGAAAGAAAGAAAGAAAGAAAGAAAGAAAGAAAAUCUUGCCUUGGAAGAAAGAAGGAAGCCAAGUUCUGCACACCCCACAGCAUGAACCCGACAAGUGGAUUCUCCCCCCCCACGUCCCACCCCUUUCCAACGGUCUGCUGAGCUGCUGUAAAGCCAUGGAAAGCCAUGGAGAAAGCACAGGGUUUUGAAAAUGGUGCCACAUGAAGUCAAGUCACAUGGUGAUCAGAAAAGAGAUGCUUACAAUGUUGCUUCUGACAAAGGCUUCAUUUCCAGCCUAAAAUGUUAAGUCCUUAGACCGCUUUCAUUGGCAAACUAUGAUGACGCCUAGGGAUUUAGCAUGAAUUUAAACACUCAAACCUUGCAACGGGAGUUGACUCACGACUUGGUCUGAACCCGCCGGAUGGUCAGAACGUCUGGCGUCGAAUCCUGCUCUCAGCUGGGUGGAUUUUCAGCCUUUCACAUGCCACUUCAAUCACCCUCAAGGCAGGGAAAAGGAAGAGGAAAAUAAUAACCAGAGGAACACCUCAACCAGCAACAGUUUCAACACCUCCAGCAGGAAAGUAAUCAGAUAUAUUUUUUUCCUCCUGGCUCAGACGCCAUGACUUCUGCAAAAGGUGUCUUUGAUCCUUCCCUUUAAGGCCCAUGCCAUAAAAAAAGAAGUCAUAGCUAAAGUCCACUUUAAAGUGAAGAGAUUUGAGCCCUCUUUUGCUCGCCCCCGCCCCCUUCUUCGUCUGAGGACCUUCCCUAAGAGUUUUUAUGAUUCCUCCCUGUGCAGUGUCAAAGCUUCGCCGCACCUAAAGUGGAAUGGGCCCUUGUUACUACAGAGCUGCGUACAGAGCAGACAGGCGGCUAAACUUGGCCAUAUCUAGCUUCUCAAUCUCUUCCGCUCUCUAGUUCAGGAAGGCGUGUGGAUUUCCUCUAUUCCGCCAUUAAAAAUAAAAUAAAAUAAAAUAAAUAAAAAGGUGGAUCCGAAAAUCAAUAGGUACAAAGAAUCUCCAGACUGGCUGGUUGCCUACCUCAGUGGCAGGCGGCCAAUCCACUACAUCACCCUGAAACUAUUUAGCAAGCGUCCCGCUGAAAUGGGGUCUUUUAAAAGACUCUCCCUCCACCCCCUCUUCCCAAACGCCACUGGCUCUCAUAUAUUAUUUGGGCUAAUGUGAGGUUGUUCUCUUUCGUGUAGGGGGUGGGAUUUGUAUAGACAACCGCCUUCCAUUGCUAGGAAUUUGGAGACAGAAUCCCCUGUUGACCAAGGAUAGUUUUCUUGGGAUUAGAAAUGUCUGACCUUGAAGGUCACAGGUCAUGGUCUUGAAUAAGGAACAGACUCUUACAGAAGACUACGUUGGGCUGGUGAGGCUUCCAACAAAAAGAACGCCUUUUGUUUGGUACUAGAACCAGACUCCUCCCUCAAGAGUUAUGGACCUCCUCAAGGUGAUCAAAUACCUGCAGAUAAAGCAAAAUAAACAUUUUGACACAUUUUCUGGGGGUGUGAUGGGGAGAGGGAAAGAGGGCUGGAGCCACAAGAUCUUAUUAUUUAUUAUUUGUGUUCUAGGAGGGCCUAGUAGCUACAGCUGAGAAGAAGGUCUCAUUGAAUCAUAGAAUCAUAGAAUCAUAGAAUAUAAGGGUUGGAAGGGACCCCAGAAGGUCAUCUAGUCCAACCCCCUGCUCAAAGCAG